CGAACGCUGGCGGCGUGCUUAACACAUGCAAGUCGAACGAGGACUAGAGUGCUUGCACUCUAUAGCCGAGUGGCGAACGGGUGAGUAACACGUGACCAACCUAUCUACAGGCGGGGGACAACCUGGGGAAACCUGGACUAAUACCGCAUGAUGUCCAUACUUCGCAUGAAGUUUGGACCAAAGAGGGCCUCUACAUGUAAGCUCUCAUCUGUUGAGGGGGUCGCGGCGUAUCAGCUUGUUGGUGAGGUAAUGGCUCACCAAGGCUACGACGCGUAGCGGGUCUGAGAGGACGAUCCGUCACAUUGGGACUGAGAUACGGCCCAGACUCCUACGGGAGGCAGCAGUGGGGAAUAUUGCGCAAUGGACGAAAGUCUGACGCAGCGACGCCGCGUGUGGGAGGAAGCCUUUCGGGGUGUAAACCACUGUCAGGGGGGAAGAAAACCGGGUACCUGAAUAGGGUGCCCGAUUGACGGUACCUCCAAAGGAAGCGCCGGCUAACUCC
rnacentral:rRNA from 1 species